CGGCGGCGGCAGUCUCAGCGAUGGGUGCGCGAGAGAGACGAGAGAGUAAAUGCGGUGCUUCCCCCGGCCUCCUCGCCAUGGCCUAGGCCUUCUAAGAAGAAGCUGCGCGCGCUGACAAAGCUGCGCCCGCGGUGCCUCCCGCAGCGAAUUCGCCCACGGCAGCGCUGACACGAGUCACUUGCCUUCGCUCCGGCAAGCCAGUGUUUGCCUUUGGUGCAACGGAGCUAGCGCCGAGGAGGUAGUCCAGGAAGCUGAGGCUGCACUCAGGCUCGCAGAAGACACGCAUCCCACCAUUGAUAUCUUCAGUUCUCAUAUAUAUGUAUCCAUCCUGCCAAGCUCAAGUUGUAGGUCUCGUGGAACAAGAGAGAGUGUGUUUCUCCUCCAUGUGUCCAAACCGUGCCGCACUGGAGACCAUGCUCAUGACCGAGCAAGAAGAGCAGGAUCAGAUAUAGAAAAGAGCAAUUACCGGUGUUUGACUCAUGACCAAGUUCAACCAACCACCGGAUAUCUUCAAAAGUUGUGCAUUAGAGGGCACGGAGGCCCUCUAUGUCCAACCUGGCUGGGUGGUGAGCUUGUUGUAAAAGGUCUACAAUCUAUUCAUCUGUCAGGUGUUUCUUGGGAAGUUUUUCCUUAAUUUCGAAAGUGUGAUCUUCGUGAAGUAAAAUUGGAGAAUAUUGCCAAUAUGAAGGACUUUGUUAUAGAACAAAGCUUUUGUAGGUUAAUAAGGCUUAGACUCACUUGGGAAGUUUAGAAAAAUGGGUAACAGCAGGGGAUGCUCGUCAUCUUUUCCCUGUUUUGCAACUACUGGUUAUCCAAGGUUACCCCAAACUAUUGGAGUUUCCAUUUGCAAACCAAUUCUUUACCCUCCUGAACAAGACUGGAAUAUGGACCGGUUUCCCAAACUGAAAGAGUUUAAGAUAGAGAACUGUCCAGAAUUCUUGUUAAUUGCUCCUAUCCCAUGGACCGAAACUCUACAUCAAGUGAACAUAAGCGAUGUGAAGCUACUAGAGAGUUUGUGUUACUCAGUAACAUCCUAUAGCGUUCAAUUGCAAAUUGUUGGGACGGAUGAUCUGCACAGCUUAGACCACGUGUUAUCAUUUAAUAACCUGACAAAGGUUGAGGAGCUUACACUCAAGAAGUUCCCACCUCUGGAGUUGAAGCACCUUCCUGAUGCUAACGUCAUUGAAGAAAUUGAUUGUAGAGAGUUCAGAUGCUCUUGUUGGCCCAUUGGGAGGUCACGGUGUGGUGGAAUUGCAGCUCCCUGUGAGGAUCUUGUGGUCCAUAAAUUACAUUGCGCUAGUGGGAAAGAAUUGACGAAACUCCUCAUUCACCUCCCAAGGCUCUCCAAACUGGUAAUCUCCUCCAUGUAUCCAAACCGUGUCGCACUGGAGACCAUGGUCAUGCCCCCCCCCUCCGCGCAUCUAACUAUUUGUUUGCAAGGAGUAAUUACUGGUGUUUGACUCAUGACCGAGCAAGAAGAGGUACCACCGUAGGUGUUACACGC